rnacentral:snoRNA from 1 species
GAGUGCCGCUGGAGUGCCGCCCUAGGCGGCUCUAUGAUAGUCGGCCCCCCGGCCUUA